rnacentral:rRNA from 1 species
GGGACUGUAUCCAGAGUACCACGAGACACGUGAAACCUUGUGGGAAGCAGGGGGGACCACCCUCCAAGCCAAAAUACUGAUAUCGACCGAUAGCGCAUAGUACCGUGAGGGAAAGGUGAAAAGAACCCCUGGCGGGGAGUGAAAGAGAACCUGAAACCGUAUGUCUACAAACAGUCGAAGUCUGUAUAUAUAUCAGGACGACGGCGUGCCUAUUGAAGAAUGAACCGACGAGUUACUGUUGCUAGCGAGGUUAAGUGGAAAACAUGGAGCCGCAGCGAAAGCGAGUCUGAACAGGGCGUUCAGUUAGUAAUAGUAGACCCGAAACCGUAGUGAUCUAUCCAUGGCCAGGUUGAAGCACAGGUAAAAUUGUGUGGAGGACCGAACUCGUGAGCGUUGAAAAGCUUUGGGAUGAGUUGUGGAUAGGGGUGAAAUGCCAAUCGAACACGGAGAUAGCUGGUUCUCCCCGAAAUAGCUUUAGGGCUAGCCUCGAGGUAGAGAGUAUAGGCGGUAGAGCACUGAUCGGGCUAGGGGCCAUACCGGUUACCGAACCUAGUCAAACUACGAAUGGCUAUACUUAUACUCGGGAGUCAGACAGUGAAUGAUAAGGUCCAUUGUCAAGAGGGAAACAGCCCAGAACACCGACUAAGGUCCCCAAUGUUACACUAAGUGGCGAAGGAUGUGGAAUUUCCAAAACAACCAGGAUGUUGGCUUAGAAGCAGCCACCAUUUAAAGAGUGCGUAAUAGCUCACUGGUCGAGAGACUCUGCGCCGAAAAUGUCCGGGGCUAAAGUGUAAAACCGAAGUCGUGUCAUAUGCAGCAAUGUAUAUGGGUAGGGGAGCGUUCUCAUCGGGCUGAAGCAGUACCGUAAGGAGUUGUGGACUGAUGAGAAGUGAGAAUGUCGGUAUGAGUAGCGAAAAGAAUGGUGAGAAUCCAUUCCACCGAAAGCCUAAGGGUUCCUGAGCAACGAUCGUCGUCUCAGGGUAAGUCGGGACCUAAGCCGAGGCGGAACAGCGUAGGCGAUGGACAACAGGUUGAAAUUCCUGUACCGGUGUGAAUCGUUUGAUCGAUGGAGUGACACAGUAAGGUAGGUCAGCACGCGAUUGGAAGAGCGUGUUUAAGCAGGUAGGUUGAG